rnacentral:rRNA from 1 species
AUGUGCAUUUACUUGACCCUGAGCUCUAGGCAAAAGGAAAUAACAUGGAGGUUAAUGCGCAUCCUAAAUCAGCAGUUAAACCUCCCAUGGUUAUGCGCUGGCGAUUUUAACGAGAACAUGUAUAAUCAAGAGAAUAAGGGGGGGGCAGCUAGAGCACAAAGCCAAAUGGAGAAUUUUAGAGCAUCUCUAGCGGACUGUGGAUUGACAGAUUUAGGCUAUGUGGGGGACAAAUACACAUGGCACAAUCAAAGUUGGGAUGCUAAACGCUUUGUUAAAGAAAGAUUGGACAGAGCAGUGGGGACGAAGAGUUGGUGCACAAGAUUCCCUAAUUAA